GAUUCUGGCCGUUUGCCACGCCCAUGUGUUCUCAGCACUGCAGCCAACGACUCUUUACAAACAACGUCAGCCCUGAGAGGGAGGGACGCUGCCUCUGUGUUCAUUGUUCGAUCCCUAGAACCUGGAACAGCGCGGAGUCCCCGAUCGGUGCUCUGGGAGUGUUUACGAGACGAAUAAUGAAUAGCUGAUCUCCAUGGCCAGCCCUCAGAUGGCAACAGCCAGCGGAGCUUUCGGCACAUCCCCCAGGCUUGCGGUUAUCCACCGAGGCAGUAAACUAUGCUGGUGCGAUUGCUGAGCCAUCAUGGUGGCGCUGCACUUAAUGCACUGCCAGUGGUAGUGGCUGUGCCCUGAUGCUUUGAAAAUUGGCAUUCCAUCUGUGUUUGAAUGAUGAUUUUUA